rnacentral:rRNA from 1 species
UACGUAGGGUGCGAGCGUUAAUCGGAAUUACUGGGCGUAAAGCGUGCGUAGGUGGUUCGUUAAGUCUGAUGUGAAAGCCCUGGGCUCAACCUGGGAAUGGCAUUGGAAACUGGCGACCUAGAGUGCGGUAGAGGGCAGUGGAAUUCCCGGUGUAGCAGUGAAAUGCGUAGAGAUGUGGAGGAACACCGAUGGCGAAGGCAGCCUCCUGGGCCAGCACUGACGCUCAUGCACGAAAGCGUGGGGAGCAAACAGG